UACGUGGGGUGCAAGCGUUGUUCGGAAUUACUGGGCGUAAAGUGUGUCUAGGUGGACUUUAAAGUCAGGUGUGAAAUCCCCCGGCUCAACUGGGGAGGGUCGCUUGAAACUUAAAGUCUUGAGUUCCGGGGAGGCGAGUGGAAUUCCCAGUGUAGAGGUGAAAUUCGUAGAUAUUGGGAGGAACACCUGUUGCGAAAGCGACUCGCUAACCGGACACUGACACUCAAGCACGAGAGCGUGGGUAGCAAACAGG
rnacentral:rRNA from 1 species